GGGAGAAUGGCUGAGUGGUCUAAAGCGCUGGUUUGCUAAAUCAGUGUACAACUUAUUUGUACCGUGGGUUCGAAUCCCACUUCUUCCG
rnacentral:tRNA from 1 species